CCUCUUCCAGAGUAUCAAUUGGAGGGCAAGUCUGGUGCCAGCAGCCGCGGUAAUUCCAGCUCCAAUAGCGUAUAUUAAAAUUGUUGCAGUUAAAAAGCUCGUAGUUGAAUUUCUGCUGCAUUGCUUUUGCUCCUUUACGAGUCUUUGCAUUGUGGCUUAUUUCGGACUUUGUUUUACAAUGUCCGGAUGUUUACUUUGAGAAAAUUAGAGUGCUCAAAGCAGGCUUUCGCCUUGAAUAGUUUAGCAUGGAAUAAUAAAGUAGGACUUUGGUUCUAUUUUGUUGGUUUUAGGUACCAAAGUAAUGGUUAAUAGGAACAGUUGGGG
rnacentral:rRNA from 1 species